GCGCUCGUAGCUCAAUUGGAUAGAGCGUUUGGCUACGGACCAAAAGGUUGCGGGUUCAAUUCCUACCGGGCGCACCA
rnacentral:tRNA from 2 species